CACGUAGGGGCCAAGCGUUGUCCGGAUUUAUUGGGCGUAAAGAGCUCGUAGGCGGUUCGACAAGUCGGGUGUGAAAACUCCGGGCUCAACCCGGAGACGCCACCCGAUACUGUCGUGACUGGAGUCCGGUAGGGGAGUGGGGAAUUCCUGGUGUAGCGGUGAAAUGCGCAGAUAUCAGGAGGAACACCGGUGGCGAAGGCGGGUCUCUGGGCCGUAACUGACGCUGGAGGAGCGAAAGCGUGGGGAGCGAACAGG
rnacentral:rRNA from 1 species